AACAAAAAGUUUCUAGGCACUGGCAGAAAGUUAAUGCAGACCCAGUAGCUAGGGCAAUGCAUUUAGCAAGGAGACGAGAAAGCAACCAGAGAAGAAAGCAAGCUGCCUUGGCUGCAAAUCCUGAUCACCCGUCAAUCAGGAAUUUAUCAGAUGCUGCAGCUGAGAAGAGGCGAAAGCAAUGGCGGGAAAAUCAAAGUAAACACAGGGCAGAAGCUAAACGUAUAAGGGCAGUUCUGGAUCUUAUUAUACAGUAUUACCACCUGUUCAGUUAAUUUUUACGAAUAUGAUAUGUAUUGUGGAAUAAAAUGAUUAUUAAUUUCA